rnacentral:rRNA from 1 species
AGUAAAAGUCGUAACAAGGUUUCCGUAGGUGAACCUGCGGAAGGAUCAUUACAAAAUACCUACGCCGGCCCCCCGGGGCUGCGCGUUUCUAUUUACACCCUUUGCCUAUGCGUACCCUUAUCGCUUCCUCGGCAGGCUCGCCUGCCGCCAGGAACCCCUUAAACCCUUGCAAUUAUGAAAGAAAACUUCUGAUACCAACCUAAAUUAUUACAACUUUUAACAAUGGAUCUCUUGGUUCUGGCAUCGAUGAAGAACGCAGCGAAAUGCGAUAAGUAGUGUGAAUUGCAGAAUUCAGUGAAUCAUCGAAUCUUCGAACGCACAUUGCGCCCCUCGGUAUUCCGUGGGGCACGCCUGUUCGAGCGUCAUUUACAUCUUCAAGCCUAGCUUGGUGUUGGGCGUCUGUCCCGCACUCGUUGCGCGGACUCGCCUCAAAGUCAUUGGCGGCGGUCGUGCCGGCUCCUCGCGCAGCACAUUUGCGCUUCUCGGAGGCCCGGCGGAUCAGCAUCCAGCAAGCUACUUUUAUGACUUGACCUCGGAUCAGGUGAGGAUACCCGCUGAACUUAAGCAUAUCAAUAAGCGGAGGAAAAGAAGCCAACAGGGAUUGCCCCAGUAACG